rnacentral:rRNA from 1 species
AGUGAACGCUGGCGGUAGGCCUAACACAUGCAAGUCGAACGGCAGCACAGUAAGAGCUUGCUCUUACGGGUGGCGAGUGGCGGACGGGUGAGGAAUACAUCGGAAUCUACUUUUUCGUGGGGGAUAACGUAGGGAAACUUACGCUAAUACCGCAUACGACCUACGGGUGAAAGCAGGGGAUCUUCGGACCUUGCGCGAUUGAAUGAGCCGAUGUCGGAUUAGCUGGUUGGCGGGGUAAAGGCCCACCAAGGCGACGAUCCGUAGCUGGUCUGAGAGGAUGAUCAGCCACACUGGAACUGAGACACGGUCCAGACUCCCACGGGAGGCAGCAGUGGGGAAUAUUGGACAAUGGGCGCAAGCCUGAUCCAGCCAUACCGCGUGGGUGAAGAAGGCCUUCGGGUUGUAAAGCCCUUUUGUUGGGAAAGAAAAGCAGCAGGUUAAUACCCCGCUGUUCUGACGGUACCCAAAGAAUAAGCACCGGCUAACUUCGUG